ACUCGCGGAAACCGCCGGUGCACGUUGGAGUCAUAAGACGGCGGGUGUUGCAGUCUGUGUCCUUGGAGGUGACCAGGGCCACUGCAGGCAUGGUGCUAGGCUUUGAUGACAGUAGGAAAAGAACCAUUUCCUACCAUUUAUGUAGAUUCACAAAAAGAAAAUGAGAGGUGGAAUGUUAUUUCUAAAUCACAGUUGAAGAACAUUAAAAAGAUGUGGCAUAGGGAACAAAUGAAGAGUGAAUCCCGGGAAAAGAAAGAGGCAGAAGAUAGUUUACGAAGAGAAAAGAACCUGGAAGACGCAAAGAAGAUUACCAUUAAAAACGAUCCAAGUCUCCCAGAGCCAAAAUGUGUGAAGAUUAGUGCAUUAGAAGGAUAUAGAGGCCAAAGAGUAAAGGUGUUUGGCUGGGUCCACAGGCUGCGCAGGCAAGGAAAGAAUUUAAUGUUUCUGGUGUUGCGAGAUGGUACAGGUUAUCUUCAAUGUGUCUUGGCAGAUGAGUUGUGUCAGUGCUACAAUGGAGUACUCUUGUCCACGGAGAGCAGUGUUGCAGUGUAUGGAAUGCUAAAUCUUACCCCAAAGGGCAAGCAGGCUCCAGGUGGCCAUGAGCUGAGUUGUGACUUCUGGGAACUAAUUGGGUUGGCCCCUGCUGGAGGAGCUGACAACCUGAUCAAUGAGGAGUCUGACGUUGACGUCCAGCUAAACAACAGACACAUGAUGAUCCGAGGAGAAAAUAUGUCCAAAAUCCUAAAAGCACGAUCCAUGGUCACCAGGUGCUUUAGAGAUCACUUCUUUGAUAGGGGGUACUAUGAAGUAAGUAUGCGUUCGUCAGCUUUUGCAAACAGUAACAUUUUUUGCCAUUUUGAAACUUGAAUAGUGGUGCUCGUGAUAAACAUUGAUUUAUUCCUUCUUUGCAUUUGAACAGGUUACUCCUCCAACAUUAGUGCAAACACAAGUAGAAGGUGGUGCCACACUCUUCAAGCUUGACUAUUUUGGGGAAGAGGCAUUUUUGACUCAGUCCUCUCAGUUGUACUUGGAGACCUGCCUCCCAGCCCUGGGAGAUGUUUUUUGUAUUGCUCAGUCAUACCGGGCAGAGCAGUCCA
rnacentral:sRNA from 1 species